AGUAACGCGUGGGUAACCGUGCCUCAUACAGGGGAGUAACAGUUAGAAAUAGACUGCUAAUACCGCAUAAGCGCACAGUGCUGCAUGGCACAGUGUGAAAAACUCCGGUGGUAUGAGAUGGACCCGCGUCUGAUUAGCUAGUUGGUGGGGUAACGGCCUACCAAGGCGACGAUCAGUAGCCGGCCUGAGAGGGUGAACGGCCACAUUGGGACUGAGACACGGCCCAA
rnacentral:rRNA from 1 species